UUUUGAGUUUGAUCCUGGCUCAGGACGAACGCUGGCGGCGUGCCUAAUACAUGCAAGUUGAGCGCUGAAGGUUGGUACUUGUACCGACUGGAUGAGCAGCGAACGGGUGAGUAACGCGUGGGGAAUCUGCCUUUGAGCGGGGGACAACAUUUGGAAACGAAUGCUAAUACCGCAUAAAAACUUUAAACACAAGUUUUAAGUUUGAAAGAUGCAAUUGCAUCACUCAAAGAUGAUCCCGCGUUGUAUUAGCUAGUUGGUGAGGUAAAGGCUCACCAAGGCGAUGAUACAUAGCCGACCUGAGAGGGUGAUCGGCCACAUUGGGACUGAGACACGGCCCAAACUCCUACGGGAGGCAGCAGUAGGGAAUCUUCGGCAAUGGACGAAAGUCUGACCGAGCAACGCCGCGUGAGUGAAGAAGGUUUUCGGAUCGUAAAACUCUGUUGGUAGAGAAGAACGUUGGUGAGAGUGGAAAGCUCAUCAAGUGACGGUAACUACCCAGAAAGGGACGGCUAACUACGUGCCAGCAGCCGCGGUAAUACGUAGGUCCCGAGCGUUGUCCGGAUUUAUUGGGCGUAAAGCGAGCGCAGGUGGUUUAUUAAGUCUGGUGUAAAAGGCAGUGGCUCAACCAUUGUAUGCAUUGGAAACUGGUAGACUUGAGUGCAGAGAGAGAUAUUUAGU
rnacentral:rRNA from 1 species